rnacentral:rRNA from 1 species
GACGAACGCUGGCGGCGUGCUUAACACAUGCAAGUCGAGCGAGGCCCUCCUUCGGGAGGUGUCCUAGCGGCGAACGGGUGAGUAACACGUGGGCAACCUGCCCUCAGCUCUGGGAUAACCCCAAGAAAUUGGGGCUAAUACCGGAUACGACCGCUGACCGCAUGGUCUGGUGGUGGAAAGAUUCAGCGGCUGAGGAUGGGCCCGCGGCCUAUCAGCUUGUUGGUGGGGUAGUGGCCUACCAAGGCGACGACGGGUAGCCGGCCUGAGAGGGUGACCGGCCACACUGGGACUGAGACACGGCCCAGACUCCUACGGGAGGCAGCAGUGGGGAAUAUUGCGCAAUGGGCGGAAGCCUGACGCAGCGACGCCGCGUGGGGGAUGACGGCCUUCGGGUUGUAAACCUCUUUCAGCAGGGACGAAGCGAAAGUGACGGUACCUGCAGAAGAAGCACCGGCCAACUACGUGCCAGCCGCCGCCGUAAUAC